rnacentral:rRNA from 1 species
GAUGAACGCUGGCGGCGUGCCUAAUACAUGCAAGUCGAGCGAACGGACGAGAAGCUUGCUUCUCUGAUGUUAGCGGCGGACGGGUGAGUAACACGUGGAUAACCUACCUAUGAGACUGGGAUAACUUCGGGAAACCGGAGCUAAUACCGGAUGAUAUUUUGAACCGCAUGGUUCAAAAGUGAAAGACGGUCUUGCUGUCACUUAUAGAUGGAUCCGCGCUGCAUUAGCUAGUUGGUAAGGUAACGGCUUACCAAGGCAACGAUGCAUAGCCGACCUGAGAGGGUGAUCGGCCACACUGGAACUGAGACACGGUCCAGACUCCUACGGGAGGCAGCAGUAGGGAAUCUUCCGCAAUGGGCGAAAGCCUGACGGAGCAACGCCGCGUGAGUGAUGAAGGUCUUCGGAUCGUAAAACUCUGUCAUUAGGGAAGAACAUAUGUGUAAGUAACUGUGCACAUCUUGACGGUACCUAAUCAGAAAGCCACGGCUAACUACG